rnacentral:rRNA from 1 species
GGGUUGUGAGGUUAAGCGACUAAGCGUACACGGUGGAUGCCCUGGCAGUCAGAGGCGAUGAAGGACGUGCUAAUCUGCGAUAAGCGUCGGUAAGGUGAUAUGAACCGUUAUAACCGGCGAUUUCCGAAUGGGGAAACCCAGUGUGAUUCGUCACACUAUCAUUAACUGAAUCCAUAGGUUAAUGAGGCGAACCGGGGGAACUGAAACAUCUAAGUACCCCGAGGAAAAGAAAUCAACCGAGAUUCCCCCAGUAGCGGCGAGCGAACGGGGAGCAGCCCAGAGCCUGAAUCAGUGUGUGUGUUAGUGGAAGCGUCUGGAAAGGCGCGCGAUACAGGGUGACAGCCCCGUACACAAAAAUGCACAUACUGUGAGCUCGAUGAGUAGGGCGGGACACGUGGUAUCCUGUCUGAAUAUGGGGGGACCAUCCUCCAAGGCUAAAUACUCCUGACUGACCGAUAGUGAACCAGUACCGUGAGGGAAAGGCGAAAAGAACCCCGGCGAGGGGAGUGAAAAAGAACCUGAAACCGUGUACGUACAAGCAGUGGGAGCACGCUUAGGCGUGUGACUGCGUACCUUUUGUAUAAUGGGUCAGCGACUUAUAUUCUGUAGCAAGGUUAACCGAAUAGGGGAGCCGAAGGGAAACCGAGUCUUAACUGGGCGUUAAGUUGCAGGGUAUAGACCCGAAACCCGGUGAUCUAGCCAUGGGCAGGUUGAAGGUUGGGUAACACUAACUGGAGGACCGAACCGACUAAUGUUGAAAAAUUAGCGGAUGACUUGUGGCUGGGGGUGAAAGGCCAAUCAAACCGGGAGAUAGCUGGUUCUCCCCGAAAGCUAUUUAGGUAGCGCCUCGUGAAUUCAUCUCCGGGGGUAGAGCACUGUUUCGGCAAGGGGGUCAUCCCGACUUACCAACCCGAUGCAAACUGCGAAUACCGGAGAAUGUUAUCACGGGAGACACACGGCGGGUGCUAACGUCCGUCGUGAAGAGGGAAACAACCCAGACCGCCAGCUAAGGUCCCAAAGUCAUGGUUAAGUGGGAAACGAUGUGGGAAGGCCCAGACAGCCAGGAUGUUGGCUUAGAAGCAGCCAUCAUUUAAAGAAAGCGUAAUAGCUCACUGGUCGAGUCGGCCUGCGCGGAAGAUGUAACGGGGCUAAACCAUGCACCGAAGCUGCGGCAGCGACACUGAUGUGUUGUUGGGUAGGGGAGCGUUCUGUAAGCCUGUGAAGGUGUACUGUGAGGUAUGCUGGAGGUAUCAGAAGUGCGAAUGCUGACAUAAGUAACGAUAAAGCGGGUGAAAAGCCCGCUCGCCGGAAGACCAAGGGUUCCUGUCCAACGUUAAUCGGGGCAGGGUGAGUCGACCCCUAAGGCGAGGCCGAAAGGCGUAGUCGAUGGGAAACAGGUUAAUAUUCCUGUACUUGGUGUUACUGCGAAGGGGGGACGGAGAAGGCUAUGUUGGCCGGGCGACGGUUGUCCCGGUUUAAGCGUGUAGGCUGGUUUUCCAGGCAAAUCCGGAAAAUCAAGGCUGAGGCGUGAUGACGAGGCACUACGGUGCUGAAGCAACAAAUGCCCUGCUUCCAGGAAAAGCCUCUAAGCAUCAGGUAACAUCAAAUCGUACCCCAAACCGACACAGGUGGUCAGGUAGAGAAUACCAAGGCGCUUGAGAGAACUCGGGUGAAGGAACUAGGCAAAAUGGUGCCGUAACUUCGGGAGAAGGCACGCUGAUAUGUAGGUGAAGUCCCUCGCGGAUGGAGCUGAAAUCAGUCGAAGAUACCAGCUGGCUGCAACUGUUUAUUAAAAACACAGCACUGUGCAAACACGAAAGUGGACGUAUACGGUGUGACGCCUGCCCGGUGCCGGAAGGUUAAUUGAUGGGGUCAGCGCAAGCGAAGCUCUUGAUCGAAGCCCCGGUAAACGGCGGCCGUAACUAUAACGGUCCUAAGGUAGCGAAAUUCCUUGUCGGGUAAGUUCCGACCUGCACGAAUGGCGUAAUGAUGGCCAGGCUGUCUCCACCCGAGACUCAGUGAAAUUGAACUCGCUGUGAAGAUGCAGUGUACCCGCGGCAAGACGGAAAGACCCCGUGAACCUUUACUAUAGCUUGACACUGAACAUUGAGCCUUGAUGUGUAGGAUAGGUGGGAGGCUU